rnacentral:rRNA from 1 species
UACGUAGGGUGCGAGCGUUAAUCGGAAUUACUGGGCGUAAAGCGUGCGCAGGCUGUCUUGUAAGUCAGAUGUGAAAUCCCCGAGCUCAACUUGGGAACUGCGUUUGAAACUACAAGACUAGAAUAUGUCAGAGGGGGGUAGAAUUCCACGUGUAGCAGUGAAAUGCGUAGAGAUGUGGAGGAAUAUCAAUGGCGAAGGCAGCCCCCUGGGAUAAUAUUGACGCUCAUGCACGAAAGCGUGGGGAGCAAACAGG